GUUUACCAACAUGGCUCACAUUGUAGCUUUUGUUACUAUUUUUCUCAUAACAAUGUGUCCAAUUUCUUCAUCAAUAUCUUGUGAUAAUGUAUAUUGGGAUUUUGUAACAUGUCUUUGGUACCUUGCAGCUUAUGAAUCCGAACCAACAACACGUUGUUGUAAAACUGUAGCAAAACAAUACGAAGAAAGUAUUUGUGAAUGUAUUGAGAAUUUGGGAAAUGAUUUAGAUAUUCGUUUUGAUCUCUCUCGUAUUGAUGAUCUUCCAAACAAGUGUCAUGAACCAAAAUCUUUGAAUUGUUCCAAGAUUAAUCACUGAAUGGAGAAAGCUUGUUUUGGUGAAUAAGGGGAAGUGUGAAAAA